AUGUGAGGGCGAUCUGGUUGGGACAUCUGUCACCCCAUUGAUCACCAGGGUUGAUUCAGCUGAUCUGGCUGGCUAGGCGGGUGUCCCCUUCCUCCCUCACGCUCCAUGUGCAUCCCUCCUGAAAGCUGCGCGCUCGGUCGAAGGGGACGACCAUCCCAGAUAGAGGAGGACCGGUCUUCGGUCAAGGGUAUACCAGUAGCUGCACUCCCCUGCUAGAACCUCCAAACAAGCUCUCAAG
rnacentral:lncRNA from 1 species